rnacentral:rRNA from 1 species
ACCAUUGGAAACGAUGGCUAAUACCGCAUAAUGUCUACGGACCAAAGGGGGCUUCGGCUCUCGCCUUUAGAUUGGCCCAAGUGGGAUUAGCUAGUUGGUGAGGUAAGGGCUCACCAAGGCGACGAUCCCUAGCUGGUUUGAGAGGAUGAUCAGCCACACUGGAACUGAGACACGGUCCAGACUCCUACGGGAGGCAGCAGUGGGGAAUAUUGCACAAUGGGCGCAACCUGAUGCAGCCAUGCCGCGUGUGUGAAGAAGGCCUUAGGGUUGUAAAGCACUUUCAGUCAGGAGGAAAGGUUAGUAGUUAAUACCUGCUAGCUGUGACGUUACUGACAGAAGAAGCACCGGCUAACUCCGUGCCAGCAGCCGCGGUAAUACGGAGGGUGCGAGCGUUAAUCGGAAUUACUGGGCGUAA